rnacentral:rRNA from 1 species
GUCCAGACUCCUACGGGAGGCAGCAGUGGGGGAUAUUGCACAAUGGGGGGAACCCUGAUGCAGCGACGCCGCGUGGGUGAAGAAGCGCCUCGGCGCGUAAAGCCCUGUCAGCAGGGAAGAAAAUGACGGUACCUGAAGAAGAAGCCCCGGCUAACUACGUGCCAGCAGCCGCGGUAAUACGUAGGGGGCAAGCGUUAUCCGGAUUUACUGGGUGUAAAGGGAGCGUAGACGGCACUGCAAGUCCGGAGUGAAAGCCCAAGGCUUAACCAUGGGACUGCUCUGGAAACUGUGGAGCUUGAGUGCGGGAGGGGCAGGCGGAAUUCCUAGUGUAGCGGUGAAAUGCGUAGAUAUUAGGAGGAACACCAGUGGCGAAGGCGGCUUACUGGACUGUAACUGACGUUGAGGCUCGAAAGCGUGGGGAGCAAACAGGAUUAGAUACCCCAGUA